rnacentral:rRNA from 1 species
CCUACGGGUGGCAGCAGUGGGGAAUAUUUCACAAUGGGGGAAACCCUGAUGCAGCGACGCCGCGUGAGUGAAGAAGUAUUUCGGUACGUAAAGCUCUAUCAGCAUGGAAGAAAAUGACGGUACCUGACUAAGAAGCCCCGGCUAACUAAGUGCCAGCAGCCGCGGUAAUACGUAGGGGGCAAGCGCUAUCCGGAUUUACUGUGUGGAAAGGGAGCGUAGACGGCAGCGCAAGUCUGGAGUGAAAUCCCAUGGCUUAACCAGGGAACUGCAUGGGAAACUGUGCAGCGGGAGUGCAGGAGAGGGAAGCGGAAUUCCUGGUGUAGCGGUGAAAUGAGUAGAUAUUAGGAGGAACACCAGUGGCGAAGGCGGCUUACUGGACUGUAACUGACGUUGAGGCUCGAAAGCGUGGGGAGCAAACAGGAGUAGAUACCCUGGUAGUC